GGGCGGCAGCAGCCGUAGCAGCAGCGAGCGUCCGCGUCCCGGUGGGGUGUCCCCCGCCAUCCCGCUGCGGAACGGGUGGGCGCCGGCCAUCCCCCUUCCUCCUCGCGGGUGAUGGCCUUGGCCGGGGCGGUGGCGGCGGCGGCGGGCUGGAGGGCUCUCUGGGCGCCGCGCCGCGCCAGGCCCGCUGCGCGACUGGCUGCCCUCCCGGCUCGGGGUGAGCGUCUGGCGCCGGGCCCUGGCUGGCAUGAGGCUGGAGCGCAGGAGGCCGCUGGUGCGCGGUGCGGACGGGGGGGGAUCCGGUACGGCCUCUGCAAAGCCCACCUGGGCCCCGUGCCCUGAAGCUGCCCCUUCGUGCUGCGAUGAGGUAGCAGGCAGGCCGCUGGGACCGCCUGCAGCCGCGCUGGGAGAAAAGCCUUUCCUUAAGGAACUGGGCAGCUGCUGACUCAGGAGCUACAUCGAGUCAGAGGAAUGGAAAGGGGGUCACAUUUCCCAAGUGCCUGAGACAUGCUGCAGUGAGGGUUGGGAUAGCGACGGGGACCUCCUACUUGCUGUCCCAUCUUGGAAUGGCGAUCAUAGCGGUGUGUGGUGCCCACUGGUAUGUGUUGGAUGUGCUCUGAGCAGGCUGCACGGCCAGGGUCAUGGGGCUCAUCUUGCAUGGAAACGUGUCUGAGCUCCAAAUUCCAGCGCCGGACUCAGGGCAACGAGAGGCACGGAGCUACCCAACAUUGGGUGAUUCUGAGUAUGCAAAAGGCAGAAUGUCCUCUAUCUUGGCAUCCUAAAAAUAGGAUUCCAGAGCCUCCAGGAUUAGGCAUUGGUUGAGCAAGGGCUUUGGGAGGGCAGUUCUGAACUUUAAUGCCUCAGUUCUGCCGUGGUCCCACUUCUAGUAUUGAAGGCCUUACAUUCCUUGCAGCUCGUGAGCGUUGCUUAAAUGUACUGCUUAAAUCUAACUGGCAUGCAGUUAGACCUAAACUGGCCCUGCAAACUCCUGGAAUCUGAAAAGUUGAAUUCUUCCAUUCACACGCACCCUCACUUGCCUUGCAAAUAAUUUCCUUCAGUCUAGAAUGCCAUUGUGUUAAAGGUGUGCAUUUUAAGUCCUUCACUGCUUUGGAGAGCCAAUGGCAGCGACACUGAGACCUGAUUUUUUUGGGGGUGGGGGGUGUGUGCGUACCAUUUAAGUGGUCAUACGUAAGUGAAUACACACUGAGAACUGAUCUGCUCAAGAGCCUGCUCUUUCUAAAAACAGCAGCAACUCUUUAUAACAGGCACGUUACGCUCAAAAUGUAUCUAGGCAGAGGUAUUAUAAGCCUUGUUUUACCAAAAUGGAUUUCUUUUUUUGCCUUGGAACUAAGCAGGGAAAACUAAGGAGGAGCUGUAGCUGAGGUCUGACAGAUGUUCAACUACGUGAAGCUUAAAGAGGAACGUAUGCUAUUCAGUUUGCUCACAGAGGCUUUGUGACCUGUGUCUUCGCAGUAAUGAUGACACAAGCUUUUUUGAAUAAAAGGAAGACAUUAACUGCCUUGGCUAAUUGUACCCUUGCUAGCUAGCUAACCGAGGACACCACUUGACUGUGAAAAUUGUUGGUGCACCCAAAUCUCUCAGCUGGGUAGAACACCUGAGGUGAGAGUGUUCCUGUAUCUGCGGGUUAAAAGGGCUAUUUAAAAAUCUUCCUAAUUGGAAAAUUAAACACUCUUGCUUUAAAACAGUGGUGCACUGCUUUGAAAAAUUAAGACCCUAUGGACUCGUUUAUUACUUUUCAAUAUGUAUUCAGUCUGGUGCAAUUUUAUGUACCCGCUAAUGCAUAAAGUCUUUUGGAACAGGAAUAAAGCACCACGAAGCGUGAUUUAAUGCUACAGGGUCACCAAAUGUGUUUCAGAUUACUGGAUGUUUCAGUCUACUGAAAAGAAGGGGAUGUCCCUGAAACAAUGGCAGGAAGGGGGGGAAGCCCAUAAAUCUGAAACUCUUUGGAAAUAUAGUACACGUAGCAACAAAAGCUCUAAAGGAUUCAGUGGGGAUUUGGUCACAUAAGAGAUAUAGUUAUGAAAUAAAUUAUACUAAGUAAUAGGAAAGUUAAAACAAAGUCAGUAUUAGUAAUACAAUAUGCAGUUGCAAUUUAAGGCGUCUUAAUGAAUCAUGUUUUCAAAGAGUACAGACCUACAUAAGCAUGUGACUGGGAGAGAAAAUAAGAGCAAGUAAUCUGGGAGUGCACAAAAGUGCUUUUGUUUAUAGUUCUGCAGUCACUGGAAGUGCCUAUUCUUGUGCUUAUUCACAAACACCUCUGGCUCUUUCUCGCAGAAAUCCUAUCCAAACACUUUUGUUCCAACUUUGUUAGAGGAGGGCUUGGUGCUUUGGUUCUUUCCCUAUGACUUCUGCAAGGCUCAGUCUCACAGUGCCCUUCCCCUGGCAAGGGGCUGAGAUGGGUCUGAUGCCUUGGCCGCUUGUUUUAUUGCUUAGUGACAAGCAGUGGGGCAAUCUAUGCUUUUGGGGCUGGGCGUUGUCCUCCCGCUGGACCAGCAAGAGGAGGCCGAGCCUGACAAGUGAACCAUGCACGGUUCGUGCCACCUGGCAAUGAGCUCUGCAGGCACGGCAGGCAGUCUUUAUACCUUUACCGUGAACCUGAGGGCAGUGUAACCGUCUGCCUAGUUAUAAUUUAACAUAAAGCCCAUUUUUCAUCUCCCUGUGGUGCUGUGCUUUCUUUUAAAUGUCACCUGUAGAGUCUCCCAGUGAGUGGGAGUUCAGCCUGCUUUGUGUUUCUUGCAGAUACCAACAGAAACUUUUUCAUAGGAACAUGAUCCACUAAGUUACUGAAAAAGAGCCAGAUUCUUUCUUAGAGACGUAAGCAAGCCAAAAAGAGUUUCCAACUUUGUAACUUCUAUACUUCAAUCAAACUGUUUUGUCAGUAUGUAUUUGUCAUUUGUAACCAGCAGACUAAUUGACUGGUUCUUUUAUUAAGGUUUAAAUCGUACGUUUUCAGAAGAGUUAUUAAGCAAGUGAAUUAAUCUUCAUCUUUCCUGUAGCACUGAAGCUUAUUCAUCACUCUUGUGCCUUCUAUCAUUCGUUAAACAUUUGAUAACCGACGGGAGUAAUUUCGAAUAAGUUCAGAUCUUCUGUUCGAAAUAAACACAGGGUGUAUCUGCUGCUUCUGGAUCAACACCUUAACGUGACCUCUCCCGCCUGCUCAACUUGUAGCAUCAAAAUAAAAUUCUUCAGGCAAGAUGAAGACCAUUGGAUGAGCACAUAAUAAGGAUUAAAACAAAUACCAUUGAGAAGUAGUUGCCAUCUUUGGUUAACUUUUCUCCAGAUCCUGUAUCAUAGCCGCUGGAAAAUGUUAAAAAAAAAUCCUCUUUAAAAAUCCUUUAAAAACUUUCCUGAGAGCAGCUGUCAGUUCAGGCAUGUGUUCCAACUUUAACUUGUAUGUAUGACUGGUAAGGCUAUUACUUGUCCAUAGAUGGCAAUAGCAUAACACUGCUGCGGUAGCCCGCAGCCUAUGGAAUGAGUGGCGAGUAUUAACUUGGGGAAUGGAAAGAAAAAAGUAAUCUUGCUGCCUUUUUUUUUUUCCUAUUAUUUUCUUUUUUGGUUGCUGCAGUGGUGCUGGGGACUGUUCUACUUGCAGGAAUGUUGGGACUAAUCAUGUGAGAAAAGAUCCUGGAGUGAUGAGGCAGCAUUUUUCCCAUGUCUGAGGUCAGGAUUUGUUCUGCGAAGCUGACCUUUAAAACAGCCUGAAAAUGAGGAACGUGGCACCAGAGAGCAGAGCAGGAAGCAUGAAAUGAUGUAAGAUAUGUUUCUUCUGCAUAUGAAAUACUUUUUUUUUUAAAGCUCCAGGUUUGUGAUUCAGCAUUUUCUGCCACUGACAGAAUGUAAGAAAGGGGAAAAUUCUGUGGGGAAAAUAAAGUUCCUAUUUUUCCAGUCAAAACCUAAUAAAAUAUUAUAUAUCAGA